UGGACAGAAGAAAGAGCCCACCAUUUGGAGGGUAGUAAACAGGUAACGGGAUCUAUCGGAUUCCAAAUUCUAGGGUACAAAGCAGUAGAGCAGAAAGGUGAACCGUUGAAAGCCACAUUCUCCUUGAAGUUAGACUCCCGUUGAGGAGAUUAUAUAUAUAUCUUUAUUUUUUCUUUUUAAGCUGUUCCGAGAAAAGAAAGGGACUCUCAUCAUUAAGAACUGCUUAAACGUCGACAGGAGGCAAAAGCAGCAACUGCAGAUGCUGGUGUCCAGGAGCGAGAAGAGAAGAGAGAGUUUCUCGCGAAAACAACCCCUUUUUAGAUAUGACGGGACAACCACCUUGGCUAAACCCACGCCUGAAAAGUUUGCAAGAAAUGCCAUAAUGAUGAUUAGUAUAAAGAAGUGUUGUGAAAAUCAGCUGAAGAAGAACAGGAGUCAUGCAACAAGAAACAUCUGAAGAUUAAAUCUGAGAGAUCUCCCUGCAAAGGCAGCAUUUUUUAGUAAACUCCUUAGCUAGGUCACUCUUGCAUGCAAAGGAUUUAUUGCAUAUAACAUUUUCAUGAGAGUAAAUAAUCACUUGUAUUGCUAAAUGACCUUAGAAUUUAAAUGGACUGUUAUAUUUAGCACAUGUUUAUGAUUUCUCACAAGUGUGGGUAAAAAUAUGUUGGUUCCUAACACACAUUUAAUUGUGAAUAACUAGUUACAAAUAUCACAUUCAUGUCAUUUUCAUUGUUAUGGAUAAGUAUUUGUCUCUAAUGCAUUUGUGUGUGCAAAUGAUUUACAAAUAUUGCAUUCAUAUAAUUUGGACCCAGUGUGUGUAAACAAUUUUAUUUUUAAUGAUUCCUGCAUGCAAAUAAUUCACCACAUACAACUUGUUCAUGUGGUUUCCAUAUAGGACUUUUGCUUAUAAAUGGCAUGAUCACACUCAUGUUGUUUCUUACCUGUAUGGAAAGCAAUAUGUGCCUUUAACGUCGUUUCAUGUGCAAAUAACUUACUAUAUAUACCAAUCUUAUGAUUUCUUAUUUCAUUUGGUAUGCAUGUCCUUCUAGAGUGCGACUUAAUCAUAGUUUGACCUCAUAAAAAUGCCAACAACCCGCUCCCCGGAAAAAAACUAUUUUACUACCCAAAUCAGAGCUUCGACCACAUAGCUUAGAAUUUGAAGUUUCGAUAGAAAAAUGUUCAUGAAAAGAAUUAUUUUGGAAUUUUUCUGGAUAAAUUUGCUCCUAUUUAUCUCAAAUUCACAACCAAAAUCAACAAAAAUUAAAUAACUUUAGUAAAGAUCAGUGUGUUGAAAUAUAAAAAAUUGACUGUGUUUUUGGAACAUGAGGGCAUGCAGUUUAUAUUCUUGCUAUUUAAAGAAGUCAUCCAGCUCUAUGCAAGCAUUUUGCAUUGAAUGAUAAAUAUAAGUGUUUUAUAAAUCAAUUUGUCAGUUGGAAUUUUUAAAACUGGGCAUUGAUGAGUGUUAUCAAACAUCAGUUACAAUCUCUAAUAUUUUGUGGUUUGUGUUAUGUUCACCUCUUUGUGGAAUGGGCUGGAAAUCAAAACUCUACACAAUAAAUAUCAUAAAUAUUUCUUUUGCUCCAACGUACAAACUGGAAACACAACACACUAUAGAAAUAUUUAUGAUAUUUAUUGUGUAGAGUUUUGAUUUCCAGCCCAUUCCACAAAGAGGUGAACAUAACAUAACACAAACCACAAAAUAUUAGAGAUAACACAAACCACAAAAUAUUAGACUUAUAUAUUUAGAACACAAUUACAAUAAAAAUAAUUGCAUGUUGCCACAUCUCUGAAACACAAUCACAGAAAACUUCAUUAAUUUAAAAGUAGAAAUAAAUUAUUUUUAGCUUUAUACGAAUAGCAGGAGCACGCUCUUUUGGUGAGCAGUGGAUAGCGUAACAGUUUGUUUUAAUCUUAAAAUGUUUCUGUUCUUGCAUACUGAUUUUUUUUUCUAUUGCUGUAAAAAGUAAAACAUAUUAUUAGAAAAGACA